GAUGAACGCUGGCGGCGUGCCUAAUACAUGCAAGUCGAGCGAACAGGUGAGGAUCUUGCUCCUCUCACGUUUGCGGCGCACGUGUGAGUAACACGUGGAUCACCUACCUAUCAGUCUGGUAUAACUUCGGGAAACCGGAGCUAAUACCGGAUAAUAUAUUGAACCACAUGGUUGAAUGGUGAAAGACGGUUUUGCUGUCUCUUCUAGAUGGAUCCGCGCGGUAUUAGCUAGUUGGUAAGGUAACGGCUUACCAAGGCAACGAGGCGUUGCCGAACUGAUAGGGUGAUAGGCGACACUGGAAGGGAGACACGGACCAGAGUCCUACGGGAGGCAGCAGUAGGCAACGGGCGGCAGUGGGCGGAAGUAUGACGGAGUAAGGGGGAGCGAGUGGCAGAGGCGUCCGGAGCGUAAAGAUGUGUUUCUGGUGGAGAACAAAUGUGGAAGGAAAUAUGCACGGAUUGACGGUACCUAGUAAGAAAGCCCCGGCUAACUACGUG
rnacentral:rRNA from 1 species